rnacentral:snRNA from 1 species
GCAUGUGAGGGUGAUCUGGCUGUGACAUCGGUCACCUCAUUGAUUGUCAGGGUUGAUUUGGACAAUCUGGCUGACUAGGUGGUUGUGCCUCUCUCUCCCUCACUGUUCCAUGUGCAUCCCUUCUGAAGCUGCAUGCUCUGCCAAAGAGGACCACCUUCCUCAGUAGAGGAGGACUAUUCUUUGGUCAAGGCUACAUAAGUAGCUGUGCUGUCUUGCUGGAACUAAAUAAGCUCUCAUGGUCCAUUUGUAGGAGAAUGCAGGGUAGUCAAGCUUCUGGGACUCCAGACACAUCCAAAUGAGGUGCUGCAUGUAGCAGUUUGCUUUUCUUA